AAUCGAACGCGGAGAUAGCUGGUUCUCCCCGAAAUAGCUUUAGGGCUAGCCUGAGGUAGUAAGUAUAGGCGGUAGAGCACUGAUCGGGCUAGGGGCCGUAAAGGUUACCGAACCCUGUCAAACUCCGAAUGGAUAUACUGUAGAGCCUUGGAGUCAGACUACGAGUGAUAAGAUCCGUGGUCAAAAGGGAAACAGCCCAGACCACCAGCUAAGGUCCCCAAUGUCGUACUAAGUGGAAAAGGAUGUGGGGUUUCAUAAACAACCAGGAUGUUGGCUCAGAAGCAGCCACCAUUUAAAGAGUGCGUAAUAGCUCACUGGUCGAGAGACCCUGCGCCGAAGAUUCCCGGGGCUAAAGUACGAAACCGAAGCUGUGGCUGUAUACGUAAAGUAUACGGGGUAGGGGAGCGUUCCCAUAGGGUAGAAGUCGAACUGGAAGGUUCGGUGGACUUGUGGGAAGUGAGAAUGUUGGUAUGAGUAGCGAAAAGAAAGGUGAGAAUCCUUUCCACCGAAAGCAUAAGGAUUCCUGAGCAACGAUCGUCGUCUCAGGGUAAGUCGGGACCUAAUCCGAGGCAGAGAGCGUAGGAGAUGGACAACUGGUUGAUAUUCCAGUACCGGUAGUAAUUGUUUGAGCAAUGGAGUGACACAGAAGGGCAGGCAAGCAUGCGAAUGGAAGAGCAUGUGUAAGCGUGUAGGGUGGUGCAUAGGCAAAUCCGUGCACUGAAAGCCUGAGGCGUGAUGCGGAGUGAGCAGAGAUGCGAGCGAAGUUGUUGACCCCACACUGUCGAGAAAAGCUUCUAGUGAGAGAGCUACCGCCCGUACCGUAAACCGACACAGGUAUGCGGGGAGAGAAUCCUAAGGUGCGCGGGAGAACCCUCGUUAAGGAACUCGGCAAAAUGUACCCGUAACUUCGGGAUAAGGGUAGCCACUGUUGUGAAGUCCCAUGCGGAUGGAGCAUAGAGUGGUCGCAGAGAAGAGGCCCAAGCGACUGUUUACCAUAAACACAGGUGCCUGCUAAAGCGAAAGCUGACGUAUAGGUGCUGACACCUGCCCAGUGCCGGAAGGUUAAGGAAGGAUGUUCGGAUUAGUCCAAAGCAUUCGACUGAAGCCCCGGUGAACGGCGGCCGUAACUAUAACGGUCCUAAGGUAGCGAAAUUCCUUGUCGGGUAAGUUCCGACCCGCACGAAAGGUGUAACGAUUUGGGCACUGUCUCAACGAGGGACCCGGUGAAAUUGAAAUACCUGUGAAGAUGCAGGUUACCCGCGACUGGACAGAAAGACCCCAUGGAGCUUUACUGUAACCUGACAUUGGGUUUUGAUACAUUACGUACAGGAUAGGUGGGAGGCAUGGAAAGUUGGACGCUAGUCUGACUGGAGCCGACGUUGGGAUACCACCCUUGAUGUAUUGAAAUUCUAACCGCGAGAGUAACGAAAUCCGGGACAGUGUCAGGCGGGCAGUUUGACUGGGGCGGUCGCCUCCGAAAGAGUAACGGAGGCGCCCAAAGGUUCCCUCAGCGCGGCCGGAAAUCGCGCGAAGAGUGUAAAGGCAGAAGGGAGCUUGACUGCGAGUCAAACACGACGAGCAGGUACGAAAGUAGGGCUUAGUGAUCCGGUGGUACCGAGUGGAAGGGCCAUCGCUCAACGGAUAAAAGCUACCCUGGGGAUAACAGGCUAAUCUCUCCCAAGAGUCCAUAUCGACGGGGAGGUUUGGCACCUCGAUGUCGGCUCAUCACAUCCUGGGGCUGAAGUCGGUCCCAAGGGUUGGGCUGUUCGCCCAUUAAAGUGGUACGUGAGCUGGGUUCAGAACGUCGUGAGACAGUUCGGUCCCUAUCCAUCGCGGGCGCAAGAGAUUUGAAGGGGGCUGCUCCUAGUACGAGAGGACCGGAGUGGACGAACCGCUGGUGUACCAAUUAUCCCGCCAGGGGUACAGUUGGGUAGCUACGUUCGGAAAGGAUAAACGCUGAAAGCAUCUAAGCGUGAAACCAGCCUUAAGAUGAGAUCUCUCAUAGAGCAAUCUAGU
rnacentral:rRNA from 1 species